CACGUAGGCACCAAGCGUUGUCCGGAUUUAUUGGGCGUAAAGAGCUCGUAGGCGGUUGAGUAAGUCGGGUGUGAAAACUCUGGGCUUAACCCAGAGCCGCCACUCGAUACUGCUCUGACUUGAGUUCGGUAGGGGAGCAGGGAGUUCCUAGUGUAGCGGUGAAAUGCGCAGAUAUUAGGAGGAACACCGGUGGCGAAGGCGCUGCUCUGGGCCGAAACUGACGCUGAGGAGCGAAAGCGUGGGUAGCAAACAGG
rnacentral:rRNA from 1 species